GACGAACGCUGGCGGCGUGCCUAAUGCAUGCAAGUUGAGCGCUGAAGGUUGGUACUUGUACCAACUGGAUGAGCAGCGAACGGGUGAGUAACGCGUGGGGAAUCUGCCUUUGAGCGGGGGACAACAUUUGGAAACGAAUGCUAAUACCGCAUAAAAACUUUAAACACAAGUUUUAAGUUUGAAAGAUGCAAUUGCAUCACUCAAAGAUGAUCCCGCGUUGUAUUAGCUAGUUGGUGAGGUAAAGGCUCACCAAGGCGAUGAUACAUAGCCGACCUGAGAGGGUGAUCGGCCGCAUUGGGACUGAGACACGGCCCAAACUCCUACGGGAGGCAGCAGUAGGGAAUCUUCGGCAAUGGACGAAAGUCUGACCGAGCAACGCCGCGUGAGUGAAGAAGGUUUUCGGAUCGUAAAACUCUGUUGGUAGAGAAGAACGUUGGUGAGAGUGGAAAGCUCAUCAAGUGACGGGAACUACCCAGAAAGGGACGGCGAACUACGU
rnacentral:rRNA from 1 species